rnacentral:lncRNA from 1 species
UGGUGGUGAGCUUAUGGAAGCACUUGCACCUUUUAUUAAAAGUGCUUCUUCUCCUUCUCCUUCUCCUUCUGUUUCUCCAUACUUUGAUUUACAAUCUUCUUCUCUAUCAACUUCAUAUCUUUACGAAUCAUUUUCUUCAACGAGUCAACCUAAUAUGAGCUACUAUGAUAAUGGUUGCUCCACUUCCAGCACGAUAACCCCUACUUUUUCACAGGGGUUUUCGGGCAUUAUGGAAGCGGAGCAACCAGGCUCAAUUUGGCUGAACCAAGCCCAAAUCUAUCUGCCACAGCAAAUUAUGCCAGCUGUCACUUUCCAGAAUAAUAAUCAGUAUGUUUCUUACUUGGGGCCAAAGCCGGUUUCCAUGAAGCAAUCGGGCUCGCCCCCAAAACCCCC